GUGCUCUAUGUCGCGGUGAGAACGGGGUGUAGGCCGAGCCAUGCUCUGCACAGCACGUUUGCGUCCACGUGUGACCAUAGUCCAACCAUCUAUCUCUGGCCAAACCAUGGUUUAAGAGUCUUAUCCUUUUUAAUGUAUAUGUGUGUUCAUAGACUGAUUGUAGAGCUAAAUGAAUGAAGUUGGACCUUUUUUCCGUGUUUUAGGUGUGAGAGUAUUCCUGGGGAGAAUGGAGUCAGGUUCGAUACUGGAUGAUUGACUGGGGAUCUAAGGUGUGAGAGGACUCUUGGGGAGAUUGGAACCAGGUAAGUAGGCUUAUUUAUUAUUUUUUUAUGUUUUUUUGUGUUCUCAGGUAAGUAGGAUCUUAAUUAGUAUCAUGUACUUUUUUAUUUUCAGGAAAAUGGGGCUCGAUUUGUGUUAGGUGCUUUUUAAGUAAUUGUGGAAUUAUGUAUUAUAUACUAUAUUAUCAAGUGUAUUUUGAGGAAUUUUUAUUUCAGGUCAAUAG
ensembl:lncRNA